GUGGACAGCAAUCCGUGCUGCAGCACCAGCAGGGCGCCCUUCCCUUCCCACCGCUGCUGCUGCCAUCUUAGAAGCACCGCAGACACCAGCUCACCUGCCCUUCACUCUACCUGACCCAGCCUCCACCCCCAAGAAGAGGCAUCAUUGCAAGACCGAGGGAUGAACUCAUGCUUUUUAAUAAAGGAAUCUUCAAAUAGCCCUUGUAGCUAUUCCAUCAAUCCACUGGAGCACCAGCCACAGAGACGACUCAUUCACUAGGAAAACCACAAGAUCAGAGAAGAGGCUGCUGAGGCUGGGAGGAGAGAUGGCUUGUGAGAUCUCAGCUGCCACUGCCACCACCGCCAAUGAAACAUCUACUCCCUCAGAGGGGCUGGCCCUGUGGCGCCUGCAAAGAGGAGAAGCCCACGUUGUUGGGCUGCCCUCCCUGCCUUGUGAAGGUGGGUGCUCUGAUGCCAUGUUCCUGUCCUCAGAUUGAACCCCAGAAGGCAAUAUAACAGAGUCCUAUGGACCCAGCGCUGAGCUGGGGCAAGAGCCCUCCUCUGAAUGCUGCUCUGAGUUGCUGGGCAACUGCUCCCCUUCUCUGACUCAGUGGUACAGGGGAAAGAGGUGGGAGGUCCCUUCCUGGGCAGGCUGAGGUACCCAGGUUUGUGGAUGCUGUCCUUCACUCUCCUCCCCCCGACUCCUGCAUCUACUCCCUUCUCCCCAUGCACAUACCCAUCCAGAGCCACAUCAGACCAGGAGCAACAGAGCCAGAGCAGGUGCACAGAGCCAGACAACCAUCCCCAGGAGCCCCUCAGCCCAGGCAUCUCAGCCUAGCCUCGUCCCACUCCAGUGGGCAGGGAGGACCCAGCUCAGGGACCUGGGCAAGGGGUAAGAUGGUGUCUCCUGCCCCAUUAUCCCUCUGUGGGGGUGGGGCAGGGAUGGAGGUGCCACGGCUGCCUCUGACACAGCUCCUCUCCUUGGGUAAGAGCCUAUUUCUCUUCCGCAAGCCAAAGCCAACAAGCCAAUUAAACCCUGAGAAAGCAGAAUUGAUCUGCAGGCCAAGGGAUUACAUUGAUCUGCAGUGCUGGUACCCAGGGGGCCAUGGCUGCCUCCCCCUCGAGCCUGGAGCUCCUUCUACUGCCGUCUUCAGCUGAGCAAUGAGCAAUCCUCCCCAUGCACAUCUCUGUCCUCCCGCGCCCCUCCACCCCCGCCACACCCUGUCUGACUGCCUAUCCCCUCUCUGUUGGUCUGGGCUGAGCCUGAGGCCAUCUGUUCAGACCUAUUCAUUCACAUCACGUAAGUGCAGGUGAGGUGACAGCCAUGAAGCCUCUGUCCUUUGGGCGAUCUCUCUUCAUCUCAGUCAACCAGGGAAGGGGGCUACUGCUCUUGACCUCAGUUUGCAGUUGUGACCUGCAAGGACACAGAGUACCCAGCACCCCAAGGGUUAACCGGUAGCAUUCCCCACACAGAGCGUGGGAAUGGGUGAACAUGAAGCUUAGGGAAGCUUCUCUGGUAAAUAAAAAAAGAGAAUGACUCGCAAUUACCAUAUCAAUUGUUUCUGGGUAAAUAGGUGCUGUCUAAG